rnacentral:rRNA from 1 species
UAAUCCCUGGGGGACCACCUAUGGCGAAGGCAUCUCACCAGAACGGCUCCGACAGUGAGGGACGAAAGCUGGGGGAGCGAACCGGAUUAGAUACCCGGGUAGUCCCAGCCGUAAACUAUGCGCGUUAGGUGUACCGGUGACCACGAGUCACUGGGGUGCCGAAGGGAAACCGUGAAACGUGCCGCCUGGGAAGUACGGUCGCAAGGCUGAAACUUAAAGGAAUUG